UACGUAGGCAGCGAGCGUUGUUCGGAAUUACUGGGCGUAAAGAGUGUGUAGGUGGUGCUCUAAGUUCGGUGUGAAAUCUCCCGGCUUAACUGGGAGGGUGCGCCGAAAACUGGAGUGCUCGAGCGUGGGAGAGGAAAGCGGAAUUCCUGGUGCAGCGGUGAAAUGCGUAGAUAUCAGGAGGAACACCGGUGGCGAAGGCGGAUCUCUGGGCCUGUUCUGACGCUGAGGCGCGAAAGCUAGGGGAGCGAACAGG
rnacentral:rRNA from 1 species